rnacentral:rRNA from 1 species
CAGCAGCCGCGGUAAUACGUAGGGUGCAAGCGUUAAUCGGAAUUACUGGGCGUAAAGCGUGCGCAGGCGGUUCUAUAAGACAGAUGUGAAAUCCCCGGGCUCAACCUGGGAACUGCAUUUGUGACUGUAGAGCUGGAGUGCGGCAGAGGGGGAUGGAAUUCCGCGUGUAGCAGUGAAAUGCGUAGGUAUGCGGAGGAACACCGAUGGCGAAGGCAAUCCCCUGAGCCUGCACUGACGCUCAUGAACGAAAGCGUGGGGAGCAAACAGGAUUAGAUACCCCCGUAGUCCCUGUCUCUUAUAC